ACCUGUUGGGGGUUUAUGUUUUUUCAAAUAAUAUAAAAAUAUAAGAAGAUUGGUUGCCAAUGAAACAACUCUGCACUAGAGACUAAAUGAAGUUGAUGUAAGCUAUCGGUCAACGUUCGACCUUCAGCAAUGAGCAAACCCAUAUCGCAUAGACAGCUAUAGAAGGCCCAAAACUGUCAAAUUUAGACUGGAAAAAAACUUGCAGCCUGAUUGUGUACAAAACAUU
rnacentral:lncRNA from 1 species